GCCCAACAAAAUGGCGUCGGCAUAGGCCUUGCUUUGUUUCCGUGGCUCUUGCAGCAGCAGCAGCAGCAGCAGCAGCAGCGGUAGCGGACUCUGAGCUGGGAGGACGAUCCAGCACUAUCUGCGGUGACUACUAAGAUCCCAGUACUUUUCGUUCAGCCACUGGCGCCGAGGAGCGCAGAACGGUACCCAAGGGGUUGCCAAGCCAAGCGGCCGUCCGAGCCAAAAACAUGACCGCUGAGCCCAUGAGUUGUGAGCGGCCAUUGAGUUCUAGGAAUCGAACCCGGGUCCUCUGGAAGAGCAACCAGUGCUCUUAACCGCUGAACCAUCUCUCCAGCUGGCGACAGCUGCUGCAGCAGGGGUUUUAACUCUUCACUCAAUCCGUCCUUGGCUUCCAGCAGC
rnacentral:lncRNA from 1 species